GAGGGUAUAGCUCAGUGGUAGAGCACAUCCUUAGCAUGUGCAAGGUCCUGGUUUCAAUCCCCAGUACCUCCA
rfam:Camelus ferus unplaced genomic scaffold scaffold961, whole genome shotgun sequence.